AAAACUGGCAGCUGUUGUUACAGCAUCUCUCAUUCUAGCCAGACAGCUCCAUGGUUAGAUAUUUCUGGAGACAACAGGCCUCUAAUAACAUGGGAGGUCAGCUUCGCAGGGCCUGACCAUGCAGAGGCGGCUCUGCUUCUCCAGUCUGCAGAAGGUAUUGUCAUUGGUAACUCGGGUGGAGAUGCCCAUCCCACAGGUCUUAGAACAGGCGCUCCACUCUGUGGUCUGGACCAGGCAGUUGGCUCGCAUCAUAGUUGGGUCUGGGCCAAAUGUGUCUUCCAGUCGGUAGGCUGUGAGAGCAGAACACACAAACACAAUCCGUCCCUUCCGUCAGUCCCGGGGCUUACCCGGGUGCAGAGAGCGAGGAGCACCAAGGCGAGGCUGAUGGGACCUGCGACGGAGGCGAGCAUGAUCGGGACGCGGUAGGAGGAUGCACAGCAGGGUGCAGAGGCGACGAGAGGCGCGGCCGGAGCCUGGAUUCGGACAGGGGCGGAGGUUGGUGUCUGGACGCUCCAGGCGGUGGCGUCUGGGGUUGUCGGCUGGGCUGGGGCUGCUGCCGUCUGGAGGAGGUCGGUCUCCUGGGGUCGGAGCUGGAGUGGAUCUGGCUGAGUCUUCUUGGAGAGAAGAGCUGUGUGAGACUAGGCGGGCGGCGCUGGCUUUUAUACGCUCCCGGGAGCCGGCUCGCCAAAGAACUGAAUGGAGUCCUACACAAACAGGGACAUUCCUCACAUUCCUCCCCACCUUCCUGCCUCAUCAACUCACACCGGAUUGAUCCUGACCCCUUGACACUCCACAUUCCUCCGUCUGAAAAAGCUGGCACACUUUAGCUCGCCAGGAAAAAAAAAAAAGGCGCUGUGUUUCCAGCACAACACCAAGAAGUAAAACUAGUUACAUGUCAACAGCGAAAGGUGUGAGUGGCUUGAAGUGUGAGCAGCCUCUGCAGUGCUGGAAGGAUUUCUGACAUUGUUAUUCAAUGUUCUUUCCAAGCAUUCCUCAAAGAGAAGAGGCCCGAGACUUCCUAUUUAAAGAAAGAACAUGGCAAGUUAGUAUAUUAUCAUCCUGCACUACUGUUAAAAAGUGUCAGCAUUAUAAUACUAGGUUUUACUAUAAAAUUCACACCUCAAAUUCUCAGUAACUCCAUAGUUAGUUCCAAAUGGAUGGUUUUUAAUAAUUAACUAAGAGGAACUAGAUUAUUGAAAUAUACAACCAACUCAUGAAAAUCUCAGAAUAUUCUGUGCAUUUGAAAUGUAGCUUGGAGCUUUAUAAUCAAAACACUUGAAAGGGUGAAGACAGAAGACUACCUCUCCACAAAUCAUACAGACAAGAUGGGACAGAAGGAGAAGGGUGUGUGACAGAGGACAUUCAAGACAUUCACAGACUGGAAAGUAUGUUUUUAUUAUGAUGCAGGUCAUUAAGUGCCAGGAAAUCCAGAAGGAAAGACUGACACACCAGCCUUGGUUCAUGCCAUGGGACCUGACUUCUUACAUCCUUAUAAAUGACUCAGCAAAUGUUUGUGUGCACCUGGGCAGUAAAACGAACGUAGCAGCUUCUUACAACUUCAGCCAACUCUGCCCUAGCCCAACCUUUUUGAUUGACAGCAUGGGAGAAACAAAUCCUUGAAAUUGUAUGGAGAAGGAAGUUGUUGUUUUGACUUCUAAACAGGGGUUUACUUAGUGACUUCAAGAGAACAUUCUACCCCAACCAACCCUCCCAGUAGAUGAGGAAUUCACUAAGGUGGCCACUUACGAUGAACCAAUGCCCUCAACCAGGACUUAAGAUGACUUAAGAUGAUGGCUGGGUCCCAGAGGCUCACGUCAGGGUGUGCUCUGCUGUGACAUCAGCUUUAUCCCACGUUGGGAAGGUCCAUGCCCAACACUGUGCUGUCUUGUUUAGGCUGAGAAUGGGACCAACCACAGACAUCGUAAAAAGCUCUUAAAAAACCAUUCACUGAUAAGCUGCCAUUAUGAAUAAAUAUGAAAGAGGGCAGCAGGCUACCCACACCAAAGUGAUACCCACGGUAACCAUGGGCUUGUCGUGAGUGGCCCUCAAUAGACAAGCCUUAGGGUGUCGUCAUAGAUGCUACCAAGUGUAUUUUAUGAGCCUGUCUUAGUUGAAAAUGCACUUUCCUUAAACUAGGUACCCUGAAUGCAGAGUUGACUUCGAAGCUUCUGCCCGCUCCCCUUUGGGUGUGGAGUGAUUGGCUUUGAACCAUGUCUCGGUUCAUGUUGUUAAUGGAAUGAUCUCUGCGGUAACUGUGUGUGGCAAGGUUUGAGCGUGUCGUCUAGGAAUGGCAGGCUCAUAACAAGGGAAUUUUCUCAGUGACUCAUGCCUGUGUGAGGAAGUUAACAACUGUAGCAUUAAAUUUCAUCUAAUCGUGGACUUACUAAUGUCUGAACAUAUCCUACCAUGAAGGUCUUUCUUCCAUGUAAACAAUAAAUGCUAAUUUUGCGAACCCUGUGCAAUAUGCACUGUGUGUGAAGACAGCAGAUCAUAGGGACCUUGGAGAUCAUUCAGCGGAAACAUGAGACCACCCCCUUCAGAGUAUACAAGAUGCAGGGUCAGGGCUGUGGAGAAAACAUCACACAACAGGUGAGCGUGGACCCUGGGGAUCUUUCCAGACCUCUACAUACCCCCAAUUCAUUGGCUUCCCAGACACUGUGACACUCUGUGUAAAGUAGUGACCCUCUGUGUAAAGUAGUGACCAUGUGGUUGUCUCUGGUGGAAGACAGCGCCGAUGGGGUGUGGCUUCCUGCUCUGAUAACCUCAAGGUAAGAAAGAAAGGAACAGGGCUGGGCUCAGGGGGUAAAGUGAUUGCUGCUCCAGCAUAGGAAGCUGGAGAGCUAUGAAGAAGGGUCAAACAGGACACAACGUCUGCCCUGCUACUAUCUGCAGGAAAAGCCGGCUGCAAGGAACCUGCUCUAAACUGCCUUAGUGCUCUCUCUCUCUGUCUGUCUCUCCCUCUCUCUCCCUCUCCCUCCCCCCCUCUCUCUCUCCCCCCACAAUAUCUCUCUCCUUUUCCUUGGCCCCUCCCCUCACCCCAGUUUAUGGCAGUAUAAUAGAAAUUAUGGCCACCUUUGAGUUUCCAUCUAGAAAAAUUAGGGUUUUUUUUUCCCUUUAACUCUAGGAGUAUAUAUUUAAAAUGCAGUGUAAGUAUAUAUUUAGAAUGCAGUGCUGAGCUGUCCCUGCACUGUCUGUUGACUUCCGAGCUUUGGUCUUCCAUGUUCUCUUUUCUCCUAGCCCUGCCCCCUGCCCUUCCCCCUGGUCAUUUUUCCUUUCCUUAAAUAUUUUGUGUUUAACAAAAUAAAAUAUUUUGUUCUAGUCAGGACAGGCCCAACACUGCCUUCUAGUGAAUUUCUUCUGGCUGUUUCAGGAUGAGUAGCUUCGGGAUACCCAUCCCCCAGCCCCUGAAUUGCUACCCAACACAGCCAGAUAUCAUCUCGUUAGAGUUUUUCCCAUUGCUGUUUAAUAUUCAGAGAGACUCACAAUUGCAUAUCCAAUGUAAGGGUAGAGUUAUUGACUGCCGAGAAAGGAGGUAUUGUUGAAGCCGUCUUUUAGAUCUUUGGAGAAGUAUCAUCUUUAUGAACCUGUGACUAGCCCGUGUGUGGUGAUGCACUUGUAAUCCCAGUACAGGGGAGUUAGAAGCAGCUGGAACUCAGGAGAUUAAGAAAACAGUGAGCAGCAUAGCCUACCUGGCAAGUUCCAACCAAAUGACACACACACACACACACACACACACACAAAUGUUAGCACAUAUGUAUGCAAGCAACACAUGCACAUGUCUAACCACACUUGCACUCACAUGAACAUGCACACAUAUACAUAUAUACACGCACAGACAAGAAAAUUAUGAUCGAAUCAUUUUAUUAGGAAACUUACUCCAAAUAAAAUCUUGUAAGAUACUCUACAGCAGUGAUUUCUCAACCUUCUUGAUGCUGUGACCCUUUAAUAGAGUUCCGCAUGUUGUGGUAAGGUCAACCACAAAGUAUAAAAUUAUUUUCAUUGUGACUUCAUAACUAUUAUUUUGCUAGUUAUAAACUGUAAUAUAAAUAUCUGUGUUUUCUGAAUGUCUUAGGUGACCCCUGUGAAGGGGUCAUUAAACCCUCAAAGGGGUUGCGACCCACAGGUCUAGACAUUUAGGUAUUUAGAUAUUUAUGAAUGAUGAAGUGGGAAUGGGAAAAGUUUUGGAUUGUAAUCUAAAAGCAUUUCCAGUUUGUGUCUGUGCAGAUGGCAUACAAAUGCAUCCAUGAUACAGGUAGAGAGGCCAGUGAACACAUCUGAAUCCGAAUGUGGAACACCAGCUGUCUCAGCCCUUCCCACCACCUUCUGUGUGAGCACGUGGACAAAACAUUUAGAGAUUGAAGGUUGGUAUGCUGAGUUGCUGGUGACUAAGCAAAGCCUGACACAGCUUCACAAGAGGUCCCUCAAACUCUGACCACCAUGGAGACUUGGCAAUCCAUUCAGACUACUUUGAGAAGCAGUUCAAAACUGAUUUGUAUUCUACGAUUCUGGUUGUGGUUUAUAAGGACGUUUGUGUAGAAAUCCAGUGCUAGUGUUUCUUAUGCGCUCUCCACACGGUCGAGAUGCACACUUCGAGUCUGAUAACAUGAAGGCUGGACAAAGAAACUGCUGUGUUU
rnacentral:lncRNA from 1 species